rnacentral:rRNA from 1 species
AGAGUUUGAUCCUGGCUCAGGACGAACGCUGGCGGGCGUGCGUAAUACCGUGCAAGUAGAACGCUGAAGACUGGUGCUUGCAAUAGUCAGAUGAGUUGCGAACGGGUGAGUAACGCGUAGGUAACCUACCUUAUAGCGGGGGAUAACUAUUGGAAACGAUAGCUAAUACCGCAUGACAAUUAAGUACUCAUGUACUAAAUUUAAAAGGAGCAAUUGCUUCACUAUGAGAUGGACCUGCGUUGUAUUAGCUAGUUGGUGAGGUAACGGCUCACCAAGGCCACGAUACAUAGCCGACCUGAGAGGGUGAUCGGCCACACUGGGACUGAGACACGGCCCAGACUCCUACGGGAGGCAGCAGUAGGGAAUCUUCGGCAAUGGGGGCAACCCUGACCGAGCAACGCCGCGUGAGUGAAGAAGGUUUUCGGAUCGUAAAGCUCUGUUGUUAGAGAAGAACGGUAAUGGGAGUGGAAAAUCCAUUACGUGACGGUAACUAACCAGAAAGGGACGGCUAACUACGUGCCAGCAGCCGCGGUAAUACGUAGGUCUCGAGCGUUGUCCGGAUUUAUUGGGCGUAAAGCGAGCGCAGGCGGUUAUUUAAGUCUGAAGUUAAAGGCCGUGGCUCAACCAUGGUUCGCUUUGGAAACUGGAUAACUUGAGUGCAGAAGGGGAGAGUGGAAUUCCAUGUGUAGCGGUGAAAUGCGUAGAUAUAUGGAGGAACACCGGUGGCGAAAGCGGCUCUCUGGUCUGUAACUGACGCUGAGGCUCGAAAGCGUGGGGAGCAAACAGGAUUAGAUACCCUGGUAGUCCACGCCGUAAACGAUGAGUGCUAGGUGUUAGGCCCUUUCCGGGGCUUAGUGCCGCAGCU